rnacentral:rRNA from 1 species
AUACGUAGGGGGCGAGCGUUGUCCGGAAUUACUGGGCGUAAAGGGUGCGUAGGCGGCCGAUUAAGUCAGAUGUGAAAUACCAGGGCUCAACCCUGGGGGUGCAUAUGAAACUGGUUGGCUUGAGUGCAGGAGAGGAAAGUGGAAUUCCUAGUGUAGCGGUGAAAUGCGUAGAGAUUAGGAGGAACACCAGUGGCGAAGGCGACUUCCUGGACUGUAACUGACGCUGAGGCACGAAAGCGUGGGGAGCAAACAGGAUUAGAUACCCUGGUAGUCCACGCCGUAAACGAUGGAUACUAGGUGUAGGGGGCGUUAGGCCUUCUGUGCCGGAGUUAACGCAAUAAGUAUCCCGCCUGGGGAGUACGGCCGCAAGGUUGAA